rnacentral:snoRNA from 1 species
CUGGAGGACUAAGAAAGUAGAGCCCGUGAAGUCAAGUUGACUCUACUGAUACUAUCCUCCUAAAUCAAACGGUAGAAGAACAGGACCUGUCUCUGAGAUGGAGUCAGGACUUACUUAAGCUACCAACAAUC